UGAGCAGCGAACGGGUGAGUAACGCGUGGGGAAUCUGCCUUUGAGCGGGGGACAACAUUUGGAAACGAAUGCUAAUACCGCAUAAUAGCUUUAAACAUAAGUUUUUAGUUUGAAAGAUGCAAAUGCAUCACUCAAAGAUGAUCCCGCGUUGUAUUAGCUAGUUGGUGAGGUAAAGGCUCACCAAGGCGAUGAUACAUAGCCGACCUGAGAGGGUGAUCGGCCACAUUGGGACUGAGACACGGCCCAAACUCCUACGGGAGGCAGCAGUAGGGAAUCUUCGGCAAUGGACGAAAGUCUGACCGAGCAACGCCGCGUGAGUGAAGAAGGUUUUCGGAUCGUAAAACUCUGUUGUUAGAGAAGAACGACGAGGAGAGUGGAAAGCUCCUCGUGUGACGGUAUCUAACCAGAAAGGGACGGCUAACUACGUGCCAGCAGCCGCGGUAAUACGUAGGUCCCGAGCGUUGUCCGGAUUUAUUGGGCGUAAAGCGAGCGCAGGUGGUUUAUUAAGUCUGGUGUAAAAGGCAGUGGCUCAACCAUUGUAUGCAUUGGAAACUGGUAGACUUGAGUGCAGGAGAGGAGAGUGGAAUUCCAUGUGUAGCGGUGAAAUGCGUAGAUAUAUGGAGGAACACCGGUGGCGAAAGCGGCUCUCUGGCCUGUAACUGACACUGAGGCUCGAGAGCGUGGGGAGCAGACACG
rnacentral:rRNA from 1 species